AUGGUGUCAGUAAUUAACACUGUGGAUACCUCUCAUGAGGACCUGAUUCCUGAUGCACAGAUGGACUAUUAUGACACCUGCCUAGCAACCUGCUCCUCGGAUAGAUCCCUUACAAAUUUUGAUGUGCAAAUUAGAGGGCAGAUCCUCAUCAUGGACCUCAGAGGACUAGAAGGGCCAGUGUGGCAAGUGGCCUGGGCCCACCUCAUGUAUGGCAAUAUCCUGGUUUCCUGUUCCUUUGACCAGAAAUGAGGAAGUGAGGAAUGAGGAAAAUAGCCCUUGGGAGAAGACCCAUGAGCACUCAGGACAGGACUCUUCAAUGGACUCUGUCAGGCCCCUCAUUACAAUGGCCUGAUCCUGGUCUAUGGGAGUUCAGAUGGGGCCACCUCACUGCCAACCUACACAGGAGAAGGCCAGUGGGAAGUGAAGAAGAUUAACAAUGCUCACACGAUUGGCUGUAAUGCUGCCAGUUGGGCCCCAGCUGCUGUGCCUGGAAGCCUUAUAGACUAACAUCAGGACAGAAACCUAAUUACAUCAAGAAAUUUGCAUCAAGUGGCUGUGACAACCUCAUCAAGCUGUGGAGGGAAGAGGAGAACGGCCAGUGGGAGGAGGAACAAAAGCUAGAGGCACACGGAGUCUGGGUUCAAGAUGUUGCCUGGGCCCCUCCAUUGGCUUGCCCACCAGCACCACUACCAGCUGCUCUCAGGACAAUCGAGUGAUUAUUUGGACCUGCCAUGGUGCCUCAGGCAAUAUGUGGUCAUCUAAACUCCUACACAAGUUCAAUGAUGUGGUGUGGCAUGUGAGCUGGCCCAUCACAGUGAACAUCCUGGCUAUGUUAGGUGGAGGCAAUAAAGUGACCCUGUGGAAAGAAUCUGUGGAUGGACAGUGGGUGUGCAUCAGUGAUGUCAACAAAGGCCAGGGUUCUGGGUCAGCCUCCAUCACAGAGGCCCAACAGAAUGAGCAG